rnacentral:tRNA from 1 species
GCCGGGGUCGCAUAAUCUGGUAGUGCGCACGCCUGGAAAGCGUGUGGUCGCAAGGCCGUAUGGGUUCAAAAGCAUUUCCGAAAUUCCCCUUAAGGGCUUCAACCCCUCUUCGCAUCCGAAGAUUUGGCUGCAGCCCGUUGGUGAAAAUCCCAUUCCCGGCG